rnacentral:tRNA from 1 species
GUCGCGCUGAGCAUCGGCUCGUACGCCUCCGUCGCCGUGAUCGGCGGAGCGGGCGCGGUGCUGCCGAUGCGGCUGCGGAUCGCGCUCGCCGGUGCCAUG